rnacentral:rRNA from 1 species
GAUGAACGCUGGCGGCGUGCCUAAUACAUGCAAGUCGAGCGAACAGAUAAGGAGCUUGCUCCUUUGACGUUAGCGGCGGACGGGUGAGUAACACGUGGAUAACCUACCUAUAAGACUGGGAUAACUUCGGGAAACCGGAGCUAAUACCGGAUAACAUAUUGAACCGCAUGGUUCAAUAGUGAAAGGCGGCUUUGCUGUCACUUAUAGAUGGAUCCGCGCCGUAUUAGCUAGUUGGUAAGGUAACGGCUUACCAAGGCAACGAUACGUAGCCGACCUGAGAGGGUGAUCGGCCACACUGGAACUGAGACACGGUCCAGACUCCUACGGGAGGCAGCAGUAGGGAAUCUUCCGCAAUGGGCGAAAGCCUGACGGAGCAACGCCGCGUGAGUGAUGAAGGUCUUCGGAUCGUAAAACUCUGUUAUCAGGGAAGAACAAAUGUGUAAGUAACUGUGCACAUCUUGACGGUACCUGGUCAGAAAGCCACGGCUAACUACGUG